rnacentral:rRNA from 1 species
AGAGUUUGAUCAUGGCUCAGAGUGAACGCUGGCGGCGUGCCUAAUACAUGCAAGUCGAACGGAGAUUAAAUAGCUUGCUAUUUAAUCUUAGUGGCGCACGGGUGAGUAAUAUAUAGCUAAUCUGCCCUACACUAGAGGACAACAGUUGGAAACGACUGCUAAUACUCUAUACUCCUUCUUUACAUAAGUUAAGUAGGGAAAGUUUUUCGGUGUAGGAUGAGGCUAUAUCGUAUCAGCUAGUUGGUAAGGUAAUGGCUUACCAAGGCUAUGACGCGUAACUGGUCUGAGAGGAUGAUCAGUCACACUGGAACUGAGACACGGUCCAGACUCCUACGGGAGGCAGCAGUAGGGAAUAUUGCUCAAUGGGGGAAACCCUGAAGCAGCAACGCCGCGUGGAGGAUGACACUUUUCGGAGCGUAAACUCCUUUUCUUAGGAAAGAAUUAUGACGGUACCUAAGGAAUAAGCACCAGCUAACUCCGUGCCAGCAGCCGCGGUAAUACGGGGGGUGCAAGCGUUACUCGGAAUCACUGGGCGUAAAGGACGCGUAGGCGGAUUAUCAAGUCUCUUGUGAAAUUUAACGGCUUAACCGUUAAACUGCUUGGGAAACUGAUAAUCUAGAGUAAGGGAGAGGCAGAUGGAAUUCUUGGUGUAGGGGUAAAAUCCGUAGAGAUCAAGAAGAAUACUUAUUGCGAAGGCGAUCUGCUAGAACUUAACUGACGCUAAUGCGUGAAAGCGUGGGGAGCAAACAGGAUUAGAUACCCUGGUAGUCCACGCCCUAAACGAUGUAUACUGGUUGUUGCUGUGCUAGUCAUGGCAGUAAUCCACCUAACGGAUUAAGUAUACCGCCUGGGGAGUACGGUCGCAAGAUUAAAACUCAAAGGAAUAGACGGGGACCCGCACAAGCGGUGGAGCAUGUGGUUUAAUUCGAAGAUACGCGAAGAACCUUACCCGGACUUGAUAUCUAACAAAUCAUCUAGAGAUAGAAGAGUGUCUGCUUGCAGAAAUGUUAAGACAGGUGCUGCACGGCUGUCGUCAGCUCGUGUCGUGAGAUGUUGGGUUAAGUCCCGCAACGAGCGCAACCCACGUCAUUAGUUGCUAACAGCUCGGCUGAGCACUCUAAUGAGACUGCCUUCGCAAGGAGGAGGAAGGUGUGGACGACGUCAAGUCAUCAUGGCCCUUAUGUCCGGGGCGACACACGUGCUACAAUGGCAUAUACAAUGAGAUGCAAUAUCGCGAGAUGGAGCAAAUCUAUAAAAUAUGUCCCAGUUCGGAUUGGAGUCUGCAACUCGACUCCAUGAAGCCGGAAUCGCUAGUAAUCGUAGAUCAGCCAUGCUACGGUGAAUACGUUCCCGGGUCUUGUACUCACCGCCCGUCACACCAUGGGAGUUGAUUUCACUCGAAGUCGGAAUGCUAAACUAGCUACCGCCCACAGUGGAAUCAGCGACUGGGGUGAAGUCGUAACAAGGUAGCCGU